rnacentral:lncRNA from 9 species
UUCCGGAGGCUGGACUUUCAAGACCUGCUGAGAGCCAUCUUCCUGGUUCAUCAAUGGACGUUCUCUCCAUCAGGACAGAGACAAGACAGUUCCUUCUUACCCGUGAGAGAUACAUGUAUUGUCCAUGACUCCGCAGGAAAUUGAGUUCCCGAACCCGAUGCAGAGAUGGGGAAGGGGGGAGCCAAAAGAAGGGUUUGCUGUCCAUCUUUGGCGCCAGAGGAAAAGUCAGCCCCCAGAAGCUAAGCACUGAGAAGUCCAAUCUUCCACAUCCAGGGGUUUCCAGAUUCCCACUCGUGUAAGAAAUGCAGCGUGAUGUCCCAGUUUUCGUGUUUUUCUUGAGAUGUGGUCCCCUUGGAGGAGCUUCCCCUGCCAGGAUGGAAUUUGAGAGCUUUCGGCUCGAGAAGAAGGGAAAUGCCCCGAACAGCCACCCGCCAGGCCCCUUGUGGCCGCUGAGAAGUUGGGGAGGAUGCAGCCAUAAAGGAGGAUGUGAAAAGUAGGCGAGAUCGCAAGGCACGAAUCUUGGAAUCUUCGUGUUUCAUCAGGAAGGCAGAGGAGGAAGGAGUCUGCGAGGUGCAGCCGCCUCUUCUGACCUCAGGAUGGAUGGAGAGGGCGUGAAGGACCCGUCAGUGACCAGCUGUUGCACAGAGAGCCCAGGGGAAGGGGGUGCCCUGGCGGGCACAUGGGAACCGAUGCUGCAGCUCAUGAAAAGUUGGAGGAACAAACUGCUUUGUCCCAGGAGAAGAGGAGCAGGAUGGAACGGACGCCCGCUGUAAUCGUGGGCGGAACCGGAGGGACGGGUGAGACAUGGGUUAAGAGAAGAGUGAUGGGAACUUGAGCCCAUGGGGAACAGGUGCUCAGCCCCGUGGGAACAGGUGGGUGUGGACGGGAUCCCCAAGGCACCUCGGGAGCCCCUGAAACCCACCUGGCAUUUUGAAUCUCUCCUUCCCCAGAUGCAACGCUUGGCGCUUCCGAUUCUGACAGUGGCUGACCUCACGGGAGAUGGAUGGGGAAGGGUCCAGAUGUUUCGAUGAGGAAACGGAGGCCACUAAGUGUUGUGUAACGUCCCAAGGGGACCCAGCUCUGAAGCGGUGGAGUCAGAAUGGGUUGCUUAACAGCCACCCCCACCCUCGGCUCGGAAGACGUCCACACCCAGUACAUGUAUUGUCCAUGACUCCGCAGGAAAUUGAGUUCCCGAACCCGAUGCAGAGAUGGGGAAGGGGGGAGCCAAAAGAAGGGUUUGCUGUCCAUCUUUGGCGCCAGAGGAAAAGUCAGCCCCCAGAAGCUAAGCACUGAGAAGUCCAAUCUUCCACAUCCAGGGGUUUCCAGAUUCCCACUCGUGUAAGAAAUGCAGCGUGAUGUCCCAGUUUUCGUGUUUUUCUUGAGAUGUGGUCCCCUUGGAGGAGCUUCCCCUGCCAGGAUGGAAUUUGAGAGCUUUCGGCUCGAGAAGAAGGGAAAUGCCCCGAACAGCCACCCGCCAGGCCCCUUGUGGCCGCUGAGAAGUUGGGGAGGAUGCAGCCAUAAAGGAGGAUGUGAAAAGUAGGCGAGAUCGCAAGGCACGAAUCUUGGAAUCUUCGUGUUUCAUCAGGAAGGCAGAGGAGGAAGGAGUCUGCGAGGUGCAGCCGCCUCUUCUGACCUCAGGAUGGAUGGAGAGGGCGUGAAGGACCCGUCAGUGACCAGCUGUUGCACAGAGAGCCCAGGGGAAGGGGGUGCCCUGGCGGGCACAUGGGAACCGAUGCUGCAGCUCAUGAAAAGUUGGAGGAACAAACUGCUUUGUCCCAGGAGAAGAGGAGCAGGAUGGAACGGACGCCCGCUGUAAUCGUGGGCGGAACCGGAGGGACGGGUGAGACAUGGGUUAAGAGAAGAGUGAUGGGAACUUGAGCCCAUGGGGAACAGGUGCUCAGCCCCGUGGGAACAGGUGGGUGUGGACGGGAUCCCCAAGGCACCUCGGGAGCCCCUGAAACCCACCUGGCAUUUUGAAUCUCUCCUUCCCCAGAUGCAACGCUUGGCGCUUCCGAUUCUGACAGUGGCUGACCUCACGGGAGAUGGAUGGGGAAGGGUCCAGAUGUUUCGAUGAGGAAACGGAGGCCACUAAGUGUUGUGUAACGUCCCAAGGGGACCCAGCUCUGAAGCGGUGGAGUCAGAAUGGGUUGCUUAACAGCCACCCCCACCCUCGGCUCGGAAGACGUCCACACCCAGGUAUGAAAAUGCCCUGUGGGAGUGUCUGUUGCUGCUCAGCGGGUUAAGAACCCAACAUAGCGUCCAUCCAAGGGAUGCGGGUUUGAUCCCUGGCCUCGCUCGGCGAGUUAAGGAUCUGGUGUUGCCACAGGCUGUGGUGUAGGUCACAGGUGCAGUUCGGAGCCUGUGUUGCGGUGGCUGUGGUGUAGACUGGCAGCUGCAGCACUGAUUCGACCCCUAGCUCGGGAACUUCCAUGUGCUGCGGGGGCAGCCCUGAAAAGAAAAUAAAAAAGAAAGAAAGCAAAUGCCCUGUGGAAUGACCACAUGAUAGUGACACAGUCUCGUGGCCUUUCUCUUGGGAACAGGCACACCUUCUUCCAAGCCACCUAAGUUCCUGCCUCUUGACUUUCUAGACACCCUUCACUGUUUAAAGGGGGGAGAACAAUAAGAAGACAAAGCAAAUGCUCCUUUUUUGGGUCCUUUUUAAAACAUUUAUUGACAUAGAGCUGAUAUAUCAGCUUGUGAUCAUCUCUGCGAUACAACAAACUCACGAGCUCCUGUUAUUUGUAGACUUUUUGAUGAUGGCCAUUCUGACUGGUGCAAGGUGGUCCCUCAGUGUAACUUUGAUUCGCAUUUCUCUAAUAAUAAGCGAUGGGGAGCAUCCUUUCAUAUGCUUGUUCUUUGGAGAAACGUCUGUUCAGGUCUUCUGCCCAUCUUUUGAUUGGGUUGUUUGGCUUUUUUGAUAUCAAGCUUCACGGGUUGUUUGUGCCUUUUGGAGAUUAGUCCCUUGUGUGUCACUUCAUUUGCAAAUGUUUUCAGCCAUUUCGUGAGUGGCCUUUUUGUUUCGUUUGAUUUCCUUGGCUGUGCAAAUGUGUUUAAGUUUAUGUAGGUCCCAUGUGUUUCUGUUUUUAUUUUCAUUACUCUAAGCAGUGGAUCCAAAAAGAAAUUGCUGCAGAUUAUGUCAAAGAAUGUUCUGCCUCUGUUCUCCUCCAGGAGUUUAAUCAUAUCUGGUCUUACAUUUAGGUCUUUAAUCCAUUUUGAGUUUAUUUUCCUGUAUGAUAUUAGAGAAAGCUG